CGUCGAGCGGCGGACGGGUGAGUAAUACUUAGGAAUCUACCUAGUAGUGGGGGAUAGCACGGGGAAACUCGUAUUAAUACCGCAUACGACCUACGGGAGAAAGGGGGCAGUUUACUGCUCUCGCUAUUAGAUGAGCCUAAGUCGGAUUAGCUAGAUGGUGGGGUAAAGGCCUACCAUGGCGACGAUCUGUAGCUGGUCUGAGAGGAUGAUCAGCCACACCGGGACUGAGACACGGCCCGGACUCCUACGGGAGGCAGCAGUGGGGAAUAUUGGACAAUGGGGGAAACCCUGAUCCAGCCAUGCCGCGUGUGUGAAGAAGGCCUUUUGGUUGUAAAGCACUUUAAGCAGUGAAGAAGACUCCGUGGUUAAUACCCACGGACGAUGACAUUAGCUGCAGAAUAAGCACCGGCUAACUCUGUGCCAGCAGCCGCGGUAAUACAGAGGGUGCAAGCGUUAAUCGGAAUUACUGGGCGUAAAGGGAGCGUAGGUGGCUCGAUAAGUCAGAUGUGAAAUCCCCGGGCUCAACCUGGGAACUGCAUCUGAUACUGUUGAGCUAGAGUAUGUGAGAGGAAGGUAGAAUUCCAGGUGUAGCGGUGAAAUGCGUAGAGAUCUGGAGGAAUACCGAUGGCGAAGGCAGCCUUCUGGCAUAAUACUGACACUGAGGCUCGAAAGCGUGGGUAGCAAACAGGAUUAGAUACCCUGGUAGUCCACGCCGUAAACGAUGUCUACUAGUCGUUGGGUCCCUUGAGGACUUAGUGACGCAGCUAACGCAAUAAGUAGACCGCCUGGGGAGUACGGCCGCAAGGUUAAAACUCAAAUGAAUUGACGGGGGCCCGCACAAGCGGUGGAGCAUGUGGUUUAAUUCGAUGCAACGCGAAGAACCUUACCUGGUCUUGACAUAUCUAGAAUCCUGCAGAGAUGCGGGAGUGCCUUCGGGAAUUAGAAUACAGGUGCUGCAUGGCUGUCGUCAGCUCCGUGUCGUGAGAUGUUGGGUUAAGUCCCGCAACGAGCGCAACCCUUGUCCUUAGUUACCAGCGGGUUAAGCCGGGAACUCUAAGGAUACUGCCAGUGACAAACUGGAGGAAGGCGGGGACGACGUCAAGUCAUCAUGGCCCUUACGACCAGGGCUACACACGUGCUACAAUGGUAGGUACAGAGGGCAGCUACACAGCGAUGUGAUGCGAAUCUCAAAAAGCCUAUCGUAGUCCAGAUUGGAGUCUGCAACUCGACUCCAUGAAGUAGGAAUCGCAUAGUAAUCGCGGAUCA
rnacentral:rRNA from 1 species